GAUGAACGCUGGCGGCGUGCCUAAUACAUGCAAGUCGAGCGAACAGACGAGGAGCUUGCUCCUCUGACGUUAGCGGCGGACGGGUGAGUAACACGUGGAUAACCUACCUAUAAGACUGGGAUAACUUCGGGAAACCGGAGCUAAUACCGGAUAAUAUAUUGAACCGCAUGGUUCAAUAGUGAAAGACGGUGUUGCUGUCACUUAUAGAUGGAUCCGCGCCGCAUUAGCUAGUUGGUAAGGUAACGGCUUACCAAGGCGACGAGGCGUAGCCGAGCUGAGAGGGUGAUCGGCCACACUAGAACUGAGCCACGGUCCAGACUCCUACGGGAGGCAGCAGUAGGGAAUCUUCCGCAAUGGGCGAAAGCCUGACGGAGCAACGCCGCGUGAGUGAUGAAGGUCUUCGGAUCGUAAAACUCUGUUAUUAGGGAAGAACAAAUGUGUAAGUAACUAUGCACGUCUUGACGGUACCUAAUCAGAAAGCCACGGCUAACUACGUG
rnacentral:rRNA from 1 species